AAAUUGAAGAGUUUGAUCAUGGCUCAGAUUGAACGCUGGCGGCAGGCCUAACACAUGCAAGUCGAACGGUAACAGGAAACAGCUUGCUGUUUCGCUGACGAGUGGCGGACGGGUGAGUAAUGUCUGGGAAACUGCCUGAUGGAGGGGGAUAACUACUGGAAACGGUAGCUAAUACCGCAUAACGUCGCAAGACCAAAGAGGGGGACCUUCAGGCCUCUUGCCAUCGGAUGUGCCCAGAUGGGAUUAGCUAGUAGGUGGGGUA
rnacentral:rRNA from 1 species